ACGCUGGCGGCGUGCUUAACACAUGCAAGUCGAACGAUGAAGCCUAGCUUGCUAGGUGGAUUAGUGGCGAACGGGUGAGUAAUACGUGAGUAACCUACCUUUAACUCUGGGAUAAGCCUGGGAAACUGGGUCUAAUACCGGAUACGACCAAUCUCCGCAUGGGGUGUUGGUGGAAAGCGUUAUGUAGUGGUUAUAGAUGGGCUCACGGCCUAUCAGCUUGUUGGUGAGGUAGCGGCUCACCAAGGCGACGACGGGUAGCCGGCCUGAGAGGGUGACCGGCCACACUGGGACUGAGACACGGCCCAGACUCCUACGGGAGGCAGCAGUGGGGAAUAUUGCACAAUGGGCGCAAGCCUGAUGCAGCGACGCCGCGUGAGGGAUGACGGCCUUCGGGUUGUAAACCUCUGUUAGCAGGGAAGAAGAGAGAUUGACGGUACCUGCAGAGAAAGCGCCGGCUAACUACGUGCCAGCAGCCGCGGUAAUACGUAGGGCGCGAGCGUUGUCCGGAAUUAUUGGGCGUAAAGAGCUUGUAGGCGGUUUGUCGCGUCUGCUGUGAAAGGCCGGAGCUUAACUCCGUGUAUUGCAGUGGGUACGGGCAGACUAGAGUGCAGUAGGGGAGACUGGAAUUCCUGGUGUAGCGGUGGAAUGCGCAGAUAUCAGGGGGAACACCGAUGGCGAAGGCAGGUCUCUGGGCUGUAACUGACGCUGAGAAGCGAAAGCAUGGGGAGCGAACAGGAUUAGAUACCCUGGUAGUCCAUGCCGUAAACGUUGGGCACUAGGUGUGGGGGACAUUCCACGUUUUCCGCGCCGUAGCUAACGCAUUAAGUGCCCCGCCUGGGGAGUACGGCCGCAAGGCUAAAACUCAAAGAAAUUGACGGGGGCCCGCACAAGCGGCGGAGCAUGCGGAUUA
rnacentral:rRNA from 1 species